rnacentral:rRNA from 1 species
AGCACCACAACAGGUGGAGCCUGCGGUUUAAUCGGACUCAACGCCGGGAAACUCACCAGAUAAGACAGCUGAAUGAUAGUCGGGCUGAGACUCUACUUGACUAGCUGAGAGGAGGUGCAUGGCCGUCGUCAGUUCGUACUGUGAAGCAUCCUGUUAAGUCAGGCAACGAGCGAGACCCACGCCAACAGUUGCCAGCUCGUCCUCCGGGAUGGUGGGGACACUGUUGGGACCGCCUCUGCUAAAGAGGAGGAAGGAAUGGGCAACGGUAGGUCAGCGUGCCCCGAAUUAUCUGGGCUACACGCGGGCUACAAUGGGUGGGACAAUGGGUAUCGACACCGAAAGGUGAAGGCAAUCUCCUAAACCCAUCCGUAGUUCGGAUUGUGGGCUGCAACUCGCCCACAUGAAGCUGGAAUCUGUAGUAAUCGUGUCUCAAAAUGGCACGGUGAAUAUGUCCCCUGCUCCUU